rnacentral:rRNA from 1 species
GAUGAACGCUGGCGGCGUGCCUAACACAUGCAAGUCGAACGGGUGUGGUAUCAGGGAAAAGGGGUUUACUUCUUUGACCAGAUAACACACUAGUGGCGGACGGGUGAGUAACGCGUGGAUAACCUGCCUUAUACAGGGGGAUAACAGGGAGAAAUUCUUGCUAAUACCCCAUAGGUAUGUCUGACGCAUGUUGGACAUAUUAAAGCUUUGGCGGUAUAAGAUGGGUCCGCGUCUGAUUAGCUAGUUGGUGGGGUAAAGGCCCACCAAGGCGACGAUCAGUAGCCGGCUUGAGAGAGUGGACGGCCACAUUGGGACUGAGACACGGCCCAAACUCCUACGGGAGGCAGCAGUGGGGAAUAUUGCACAAUGGGGGAAACCCUGAUGCAGCGACGCCGCGUGAAGGAAGAAGGUCUUCGGAUCGUAAACUUCUAUCAGCAGGGAAGAAGGAAGUGACAGUACCUGAGUAAGAAGCCCCGGCUAACUACGUGCCAGCAGCCGCGGUAAACAUACUCG